ACAAUCUGUAUAGUGAUGAUA
rnacentral:siRNA from 1 species